CCAAGAGCACAAUGUUUUGGUCCUGAACCUGCUGCUAUUUUUUACUAGAUUUACACAUGCAAGCAUCCACAUACCAGUGAAAAUGCCCGCUAAUCAGAUAAGACAAACGGAGCCGGUAUCAGGCACACCCGCCUUUAGCCAAUGACACCUUGCUCUGCCACGCCCCCACGGGUUUACAGCAGUGAUUAAUAUUAAACAUAAGCGAAAGCUUGAUUUAGUUAUAGUAAAAUAGAGUCGGUAAAUUUCGUGCCAGCCACCGCGGUUAUACGAAAGACCCAAAAUAACGGCCCCCGGCGUAAAGCGUAGCCAGAUAAAUUAAUUAAGGAUGAACACCUUCUCCGCUGUAAAACGCCCAAGAAGACAAGAACAUCAACCACCUUAAAUACAUUUGACCCUACGAAAGCUAGGGCACAAACUGGGAUUAGAUACCCCACUAUGCCUAGCCCUAAACUUAGAUAGCAAAAUACUACCUAUCCGCCAGAGAACUACAAGCAAAAUACUUAAAACUCAAAGGACUUGGCGGCACUCCAUAUCAACCUAGAGGAGCCCGUCCAAUAAUCGAUACUACGCGCUCAACCCAACCAUUUUUGGCCACUCCAGCCUAUAUACCGCCGUCGUCAGCUAACCUUGUGAAAGAAAAGUAGUAAGCACAAAAGCCCCCACUAAAACGUCAGGUCAAGGUGUAGCUAAUAAAAUGGGUGUGAUAGGCUACAUUUUCUACUAUAGAAAAUACGGAUAAUACAAUGAAACUUGUAAUAGAAGGUGAAUUUAGAAGUAAACUAAGAAAGAAUCCUUACUUUAACAUCGCCCUGGAGUGCGCACACACCGCCCGUCACCCUCCUCAAACAACUCAGAUGAGGCAAG
rnacentral:ncRNA from 1 species